AUUGAACGCUGGCGGAAUGCUUUACACAUGCAAGUCGAACGGCAGCACGGGGGCAACCCUGGUGGCGAGUGGCGAACGGGUGAGUAAUACAUCGGAACGUGCCCGGUCGUGGGGGAUAACGUAGCGAAAGUUACGCUAAUACCGCAUACGAUCUGAGGAUGAAAGCGGGGGACCUUCGGGCCUCGCGCGAUCGGAGCGGCCGAUGUCAGAUUAGGUAGUUGGUGGGGUAAAGGCCUACCAAGCCGACGAUCUGUAGCUGGUCUGAGAGGACGACCAGCCACACUGGGACUGAGACACGGCCCAGACUCCUGCGGGAGGCAGCAGUGGGGAAUUUUGGACAAUGGGCGCAAGCCUGAUCCAGCCAUUCCGCGUGCAGGACGAAGGCCUUCGGGUUGUAAACUGCUUUUGUAUGGAACGAAAAGGCUCUGGCUAAUACCUGGGGCUCAUGACGGUACCGUAAGAAUAAGCACCGGCUAACUACGUG
rnacentral:rRNA from 1 species